GCCAAAAGAUAAACAAAUCUGUAAGGUGAAACCUGCUCAGUGGCCAGAAGAUUAGAUAUUCUUGAUAGGGUAAAUUCUGGUUAAACAGCCGCCCAAAUCCUAAAGGGUGUGAAAUAAGCAUAAUCGGAUGCCGUUUAAUUGGCGGAGAGUUGAAUGGAUUCACGAGUGCGAAGCUGUCUUGAGCCAAAAGAUAUUGAAGUAGAUUUGCGAGUGAAGAAGCUCGCUCCAGCUAUAAGACGAAAAGACCCCGUGAAGCUUAACUAUAUUUUUGGUUAACCCAAUUGGAAGGGAUUGGUCUAUUGAUAAAUAGACGUCAUAAUUCUGUUUUUAGCUGAAUUGGUAGUUUUGAUGGGGUGUUAGCACGUUAAAUGUAACAUGGAGUUAAAUUCAUAACUACUGCAAGACUAGUGUAAUUAACCUAUUUAUACAGAGAUAAAGAUCGUUUAAGUGACCCGCCUAUUUUUUGAGAUAAAGACGACAAAGGAUAAUAGCUACUCCGGGGAUAACAGGGUAAUUGUUAUCAGGAGUUCUCAUUUUGGUAGCCGUUUACCACCUCGAUGUUGAAUUGAGUUUUCCUGGAGAUAAAGAAGAUUCCAAGGGUAGGACUGUUCGUCCUUUAAUAACUU
rnacentral:rRNA from 1 species